AUGCUUCUCCUAAAGACUAAGCCAUGCAUGCCUUCGAAUAGAAGAGCUUUCUCUCUGAAUCUGCGUACGGCUCCGCAAACCAGUUGUAAACCAUAGCAAGCAGACCUUGGGAACGGAGCAAUCCGUUCCCUUGGUCAUAGGGAUAACCCUGGUAAUUCUGAGGCUAAUACAAGAUCGUACCACCUGGCGAACCGGGCGACUGGUGAGCUGGGGUACGUGUGGAACGUCGCAUUACCAGUGGGAGAAGUCACACGCUCUGACCAUCACACAAAUGUUCCCGGUUGGACCGCCCCUCGGGGUGGCUCGGCUGGGUGCAGGUGGCUCUUGCAACGUGCUUCUGACCUAUCAACUAGAUGGCAGCGUAAGGGACAUGCUAUGGUGACAACGGGUACAGAGGAUAAGGGUUCGAUCCUGGAGAGUGGGCCUGAGAGAUCGCUCACACUUCUAAGGAAGGCAGCAGGCGCGCAACGUUCCCAGUGGACAUCGUCCGAGGGCGUUAGGGGAAAUAUGAAUGUCUGCCAUAUGGUGGACAAUUCAAAUGGGUUCGUUAUAAACAACCCU
rnacentral:rRNA from 1 species